UACGUAGGGAGCAAGCGUUGUCCGGAUUUACUGGGUGUAAAGGGUGCGUAGGCGGUUUGGUAAGUCAGAAGUGAAAUCCAUGGGCUUAACCCAUGAACUGCUUUUGAAACUAUCGAACUUGAGUGAAGUAGAGGUAGGCGGAAUUCCCGGUGUAGCGGUGAAAUGCGUAGAGAUCGGGAGGAACACCAGUGGCGAAGGCGGCCUACUGGGCUUUAACUGACGCUGAGGCACGAAAGCAUGGGUAGCAAACAGG
rnacentral:rRNA from 2 species